GUUUUUUAUCAAUAGAUUUUUGUUCAGACUGGGUUCUUUCUUGGAAAAAAUGCAGAUUUUCACUCCCUUGGGAAAGAUCUCUGUAAUGAUCUAAGGGGCCCUGGCAUCGAUAGUAUUUUGCGGAUACAUCAUAUAUGACACGGACAACCUGAUUAAAUGUUAUGCUUAUGAUGAGUACAUUUUGGCAGCAGUUUCUUUGCACAUGGGUAUCAUCAAUCUCUUCCUCUCUCUGUUGACUUUUUGCAGUGCCCAGGAAGGGUAGCUAAAG
rnacentral:misc_RNA from 1 species